AGAUUAUUUAAAAGGAAAAAACACUUUCAGUACGGUCUCAAUACUGUAUCAUACUAUACAAUUGAAUCAAAUCAGAAAUAUCACAUUUACCAGAAACCAGAAAAUGGUCUCCGACAAUCCCAACAUACUCAGACACUUUAAAAUACUUCCAUGCAACAAAUGACACAGUUAUCAAUAAAAAAUAUGGUUUAACUGAGGGCAGUGCCAUGUUUUCAACAGAUUUCACUAGAAGCUGGAUUAUAACACAGCCAGGUCAUGUACGCGUCACGCGUGACUAACAUUCUUUGACCAAAUGCACUUCUCCGGCACAGAGAUAUGUUGAGUGAAUGUUGAGUCCUCCUAACAUCAUUUGCUAACUGCUAAGUAUUAACCUUCUGCUGUGUUGCCAUCAAUGGUCCUCAAUAAUUUAAAACUAUUUCAUUAUACAGCUUACAAUGUCAACUUUUAUGCUUUAAAAGUGUUUUUUGCAGGAGUGAAAUUACUAAAAAGGUCUUUUGCACAAAUAUUUGGUUUUUAUUUGGCAUGACAUGUCAUUUCAAACUUGGAAUUAGUCACAUAAGGUAAUCAUUUUAUGUAACUCGUAGUGGGGAAAAAUAUACAAAUACAU